AUAACCCCGGAAAACUGGGGAUAAUACCCCAUAGACUACAGAAGCUGGAAUGCUCUGUAAUCGAAAGGUCCGCCGCCUUAGGAUGGGUCUGCGGCUGAUUAGGUUGUUUUUGGGGUAACGGCCCGGCAAGCCUGUAAUCAGUACACGGUUGUGGGAGCAAGAACCCGGAGAUGGAUUCUGAGACACGAAUCCAGGCCCUACGGGGCGCAGCAGGCGCGAAAACUUUACAAUGCGAGAAAUCGUGAUAAGGGAACCCCGAGUGCCCGUAAAUUCGGGCUGUUAAUCUGUGUAAAAAGCAGGUGGAGAAAGGGCCGGGCAAGACCGGUGCCAGCCGCCGCGGUAAUACCGGCGGCUCGAGUGGUGGCCACUAUUACUGGGCUUAAAGCGUCCGUAGCUGGAUUGUUAAGUCUCUUGGGAAAUCUACCGGCUUAACCGAUAGGCGUUCAAGGGAUACUGGCAAUCUAGGGACCGGGAGAGGUGAGAGGUACUCCAGGGGUAGGAGUGAAAUCCUGUAAUCCUUGGGGGACCACCUGUGGCGAAGGCGUCUCACCAGAACGGCUCCGACAGUGAGGGACGAAAGCUGGGGGAGCAAACCGGAUUAGAUACCCGGGUAGUCCCAGCUGUAAACGAUGUGCGUUAGGUGUAUCGGUGACCACGAGUCACCGAGGUGCCGAAGAGAAAUCGUGAAACGUACCGCCUGGGAAGU
rnacentral:rRNA from 1 species